GAAUAUAGUAUUGGAAUUUCUAGAGGGUUUUCAGACAAUAAGUAUCUGAGAAAAAAAAUAGGCCCUAUUUAUCAUGCAAGUUGGCUGACAACAGCAGUACAGAUCUUGGCACUAUACACAAGAACAAUCAAUCCCAGUAGAGAGCUCAAAAUAUUUGUUGAAUAUAUUCAAACACUAUAUACUCCUAUGUGGUUUAAUAUUAAAAAGUCUAAGAGUUUCACAGAGGGUCCUAAACUUAUUUUCCAAUUUAUUCAGCAGACUUUGAGGUUGGAUACUGAAGUUCAAAAUAUUACAUUGCCCAUAGUUUAUAGAAACUCUUUUUGUCUCCUACCUGAAAAUUUUAUUGCUGCUCUACUUUAUUCUGAAGAACAGGUUUAUAGAACAAUUGAUGUUGUUAAGAUUUUGGAAACAAGAAAAACCCUAAUUAAGGAUCCUAAAAAUGGAUUAAAAGAUGGUAUUAGGGUUAAUGCUAUUCCAAUUAUUGAUUGUAGAUGUAAAAACUGGUCAAAAUUAAUAAAUCUGUAUGAUAUAGACUGUUUUGAGCCCCCUUGUGUGGAAAAUAUAUAUCAAAUGAGGAGCUUUUGAGUAUAAUACCGAAUCAGGGAAAGGCUCCCAACUUUCUGUGCCACUCGCAAACAGUUGAAAGAGCAGCGAAAAUGACUUCUGAUGCUAGCGGAAAAUUUAUUAACCUCAAGAAAAGAAAUGCUUAUAUUCUAGCUAAAUGCCAAAGUCAAAAGAAAC